rnacentral:lncRNA from 1 species
CACAUCCCAGAUAAUACUUAACUAGUGUUCCAUUAUUGGAACUGUAAGCUUGUGGGAGUUAUUUAUAUCCUACUGCUCAAGAUCAUUGCCAAGAUCUGACAUUUCACACAAAAAAUUGUAACCUCCGGCAUAAAUGAGUUAAGAAGGUGUAGCCAGGCCAGGACAGAAGUGACACCCCAAGACUCAGCCAACACACUAACUCCUAGAGAACAAACACUCUCAUGCCCUGAUCCAAAGCCCUCCACCUUUCAUGGCAUCACCAACUUUCUCCUGCCCAGGCAGAGGAAGGGAUCUUUAUCACGGGACAGGAGAGUGCUGAUCUCAUCCAAUCUUUCCAUAUUCCUAAAGUAAAUAUAUCUUUAGAGAUUUGACAUUUAAGAGAAAAAAAAGAAAAGAAAAAAGAAAUUUGGCAUUUGAGUCUCAAACAGACCUUGCAGACUUCGAAACUUUGUUGUCUCAAACUAAAAUCUCUGCCUUGAAACCUCAGAAGCCUAUUUUGCAAACCAAAGGCCAAGAACUGUGUUCGUUAUCUUCAGUCUUCUGAUCAUCCUUUGAGGCAGGACUGUGGGAAUGUUCUACACAGAUGAAUUCCAAGUGUGUUUGGGCAGUUAAAAACCUGUUGAGCAUGCCCAUAUGUGAAUGUACCAUGUGCGCACGCGUGUGUGUGUAGCUGUUACCUACAUAUGAAAAAAUGGCCCAAGUUUAGCGGAUUUUUCUAUGCCUUAGUUAUCAAUUAAAUAUGUCAACAUUGUCAUCACCUCUCCCCCUCAAACUACAUGAUUUAGAAAUUAUUGCUUCAGAUUCCUGGGUUGAGAGUGAACCACUGCAGAACAAGGAAAUCUGGGUGUUCGUGGUGGGAAUACAUCAGUGGGUACUUCCCAGAUCAUCUGCACAAAAGGAACCAUGCCUGGCCAGAGGACUUGGGGUGAUGUUGUGCUAAGAUGGGUUUUACCAUGUUGGCCAGGCUGGACUCAAACUCCUGAACUCAAGUGAUCCUCCCACCUUGGCUUCCCAAAGUGCUGGGAUUAUAGGGGUGAGCCACUGCGCCCAGCCAUGGACAAGUUUAUUUCUUCCUUUCAGAUCCAUAUGGUUUGUAUGCCUUUCAUUUCCUUUUAUUGCUUUAUACGCUGCAUAGAACUUUCAGCAUUAUGUUGAAUAAGACUGAUAAGAGCUGAUAUCCUUUCCUUGUUCCUGAUCUUAUUUUUUUUUCCUUGUCCCUGGUCUUAAAGGGAAAACAUGACGUCUUCCACUAUCAAGUAUGUUAGCUGUAGGUUUGUUUGUUUGUUUGUUUGUUUGUUUGUUUGUUUGUUUUGGAGGCAGGGUCUCACUCACUCUAUCACCCAGGCUGGAGUGCAGUGGUAUGAUCACAGCUCACCACAGCCUUGCCUCCCAGGCUCAAGUGAUCCUUAUGGCUUGCAAGAGCCACCAUGCCCAGCUAAUUUUUUUAUUUUAUUUUUUUGUAGAAACAGGGACUCUGUAUGUUUCCCAGGCUGGUCUUGAGCCCCUGGGCUCAAGAGAUCCUCUUGCCUCAGCUUCGCAAAUGAGCCAUCGUGCCUGGCAGCUGUAGGUUUUUUGUAGAUGGAAGAAGUGUUUUU